CAGCCAGCCACAGGCUUCUCCAAAUGGGACAUUGCUCCAUAGACUUCCCCCACUGACACACGCCUCCCACUGCGACCCAAACACACCACAGCCUCAGUAGAAUCAGACAUCACCAAUUCAUACACAUGCACCCCCCCACACACACAUGUUCAAGUUUCUGAUUUAAAUAUGAAACAUUUCUACCAGCUCUAAUAUUUCACACUAACACUUUUACACUUUAAACCCGAAAAGGACUAUCUUGAUCUGACCUCUGGGACAUCGCAGGCUACAGAAACUCACCCACCCACUCCUGCAAUAGGCCCAUAACCUCUGGCUGAGUUAUGGAAGCCCUCAAAUCUUAAUGUAAAGAUUUCAGAAGUUAUAGAGACUCCACCAUAUAUCCUACUUCAAACGAGCAAGUGAUGCCUCAUACUGCAGAGGAAGAUCAAAAUCCACCAGAGUCUGUGCCAGUCUGACCUGGGGGGAAAUUCCUUCCUGAAAACCCUCAUAUAGGAAACCUGAUGGAGAAUAAACAAGACUUUUCUUACACCACUCCGCACCCAGUGGCAGCAGAAUCUGCCUGGCCAUGCAUGCUGAAAAUUGGCUUCCCUUGGGUCGUAACUGAAGAAGUGGUGCUGCAGACUGCGUGAGAGCAAUAGAGUCUGUUCAUGCGUGAGUAAGUGACAUAGUAUGGCAAUGGAGCCCGUGUGGUUAUUGGAGUUAUUGGAAGAAAACACAUCCGGUGUGGAAUUAGAUCCUGAGCUUUUGACUUUAGGCUAAUAAACUGGAGAUUGGGGAGAUAUUUGAAGAGGAAGAACAUGAUGGCAAAAGCAGAACAGAUGUCACACAGUGCUAGAAACUUGGCUGUUUCUAGGGCUAAUUUAACCAAACAGUACUGUGGCAUGUUGCUUCACAUUGGUCUAGGUCAGCAAUGUGCAACCGAGGCUAAUGAGUGGGCCACAUGAGUGGUCCUCCUUCAUCUCAGUGGGCUGCAAGAUUGUCGUAACAAAGAUGGUCGCCCAAGGUAGGGCAGUUUUGCUGACUAUGUUUGCAUACCUAGAAUUUGCCGAUUGAAUGUGAUGAUUGAACUGUAGCAGCGCUUUGACUGGCUGCAGACAGAGUGCAUGGCUCAUACAGUGAGUGUUGUGUGCAGUCAGCCUGCACCUCGCUUUACAUACAUGUCACUUGAGUAAUUCUGGUAGGAAAAAAGCUAUGUGGAUGGAAACCAACAGAAUCUGCCAACCCUACACCUGUCUUUUCGGCUACACAUAGAACCCCGAUUGGCCCGCAGGCCAGAGGUUACCCCACUAAUCUAGCUAUUCCUGUGAUGUCCCCUUGGGGAUUAAUGGAUCUAGUCUCUCUAUUAAAAAUGUUAGUUUCUUAACAGUUUUUCACUUAAGACGUGUCUUGUUAUUAAUGAGCUCUAGUAUGUGUAUGUGUGGGUAUGUUUGUGUGU